rnacentral:rRNA from 1 species
UACAUGGGGUGCAAACGUUGCUCGGAAUUAUUGGGCGUAAAGCGCACGUAGGCGGUUCGUUAAGUCGGAUGUGAAAGCCCUCGGCUCAACUGAGGAAGUGCACCCGAAACUGGCGAGCUUGAGUACGAAAGAGGAUCGCGGAAUUCCCGGUGUAGAGGUGAAAUUCGUAGAUAUCGAGAGGAACACCGGUGGCGAAGGCGGCCAACUGGACGAAGACUGACGCUGGAGACACGAAAGCCGUGGGGAGCAAACAGG